GUCCACCAUUCUCUUGCCACGUGUCGAUCAUCCUGCAAUGGUUCGCUUCGGAUCUCUGGAAUAUUCUUUCGGUUUCCGUUUCCUUGGCUCGAUUAGACUUCUUGGUUUUAUUUCGGUUUCUGCUCCUCUUUGGCAAAACUUUCUGCUUCUCUGUGGUUCCUGUGUCAGGGCACUGUGCUUUCUUUUCAGUUUUUCUUGAGCUUUUGAAGGCCUCUGUGCUGAGGCUCAAUGAUAACAGUGGGUGAUAGUCACCGGAAGUUACGCAGCUAUGCCGAGGGUUACGUAGUGGAACUUGGAUUUCACAGAUCACAGUGAACAGGGUGAUAGGUGGUUUGGAGACAUUUGAAAUCAUAAGAAGACUCGAAGAUUUCAGCCAGGUUUGAAUCAAAGCACCAAAUGAAUUCUUCUUCCAGGUGAUGAUUAAAUGUUCCCAACUUUUUUAGUUGUAUAAAGACUUGGGUAGAUAGGAAUUUGUUUUUACUCAUGUGUUUCACUAGUUCUUUGGUAAUAGAUAAAUCUUUGUGAACAGUCUUCUGCUUCUAUCAGUACCCAAGGUAAGUUCUUAUUAAUUUACUUUUCACAGUCAGGUCAUUUGCGACCAAAUAUUAUUUUUCAACUUAUGCUUGGUUUACUCUUCUUUUGCAGCCUAUUUUUUCACACAUUUAGUCUUCAGUAGAUGGGGCUAAGGAAUUUCCAUGUGGCAUUGUAUCAAAUUAUCAUUGAUCGAAGGGUAUGGCAUUGUAAGAUCAUCUUCUGUUCACUUUGAUCAAAUUAUUUGUCAAGCGUUUUAGUUUUUUAUAAUUAUGAUAUUAUUUCUUAUUUGGCCUCAAGAUUAGUGGACUUAAACUUUGUUUAUUAUCUUUGCAGUAAGAAGAAGACCUUAAUAAUGUAAUAAGAGAUAACAAUAUUAACUUGACAGUAAAUGGUCCAUUCCUUUUAUUUCUUUUUUUGGUUGCAAUGUCGAUACUUAGUGUAAUUUGUACCUUAUGUUUUACCUUUGUUUUUAAAAUAAAAUUCAUUAAUUUGGUUGUGUUUUGUUCCAUAAUAAAUGUGUAAAGAUGACCAUGUUGUACAUUACAUAGUUUGGGAAUUAGACCAAGUAUUUUGAUCAAUCAGAGUAAAUAUAUUUUAGCUUUUUUUACGUCUUAAACUGUCAAGAUAUAAACUUAUAGGUCGUUACAUAAAAUUCACAAAUUAUAACAUCAAUUGCAAGUUAGCAUAUGAUCCCGUGAUGCAUAGAGGAACUAAGAAUUAAUGGACAAUUUUAUGUAUUGGUGCUUAAAUUUCCAAGAAGACGACGAGCUCCAUUUUCUUUUAAAUGUUAAUUUUUUAAUUUGGGUUUGUGUUUGCUCAGUUUUUGUGGUGAGAAGGAAUAAAUUGGUGAAACGUAGAGUGGUCUUUUUGCUGAAAGGUAUGACCUUUGAAUUGGAGCUAUAGUGUUCGUUCCUAUUGCUAGAUUGGCAGGUAGAAACUCAACCUUUUGUUUAUGUAAAUGUUGGUUUCGUGCUGCAAAUAUGAUAGGCACAUUGGUGUGUAAAAUUGAAAACCCAGUAACAUAUGGUAUAGGAAAUUCUAUGAUGCAUGGACACGGGAGAAGACCAGCGUAUCCCAUAUCUGACACGCGGGGAUACGGAUAUGCAGGGUGAUACGUGUGGAUAUGCGACCGAUACGUAUCCGAGUCAACAGAUACAUUGUUGACUGGUGGGAUACGUGUACCUUACUAUUGAGAUACGACUAUCGUACUUUUUGGAUACGUUUUAAACUAUAAUCAGAGGAUAAUCACACAAAAAAAUCAAGAUAAUUACACUUAAUCCGCACAGAAUCAUGAUAAUUGACAGUUGAUUGAGAUUAGCUGAACUGAAACGAUUCUGUGACCGAAAAUCGAAACAAUUUUGUAUAUAAAAUUCAAAUCUACCUGUUUUUCCUCACUUGAACAUCAGAACCAUCUUCGGCAACUGCUCCUGUCGUCUCCGUUUGCUACUGCUGCAUCGUAUCUCAUGCAUCCACUGGUGAGAGCUGGUAACUGGGUUUCGGAUUCCAAGCUUUCUUGAAGCUUUUUUUUUUUGUGUUAUACACGUGUUGCUCAUCGUGGAGGGGAAGAAACAUGGAAAAGCGGGCUCUUCCAUUUGCUUCCACAGAUUUCUCAAGCUCUCUCUCAAGCUCUUAAUCGCUGGCCUCCCUAAGAAGGAAAUCGCCAAUUCGAAAGCUUGGGUUUACUGAGAUCUUUGCCAUCGCUGCUCCACCAAACUUGCAUCCGCUCUUUCGAACAGUUAGUGGCGAUUUGAAACCGUUAACCGGGAUGAGAAUUCGAGUGAUUUGAAAACAGAGAGCAAGGAAUUGCAGGUGGUGUUCUGAUUUUUCAUUCCUUCUCAUCACUUCUACAAGAGGUUAGUUUUCUUUUCUGCAUUUAAAGAGUGUUUAAGGAAAAAUUGUAUGUAAUUGAUUUUCUGCUAUAAUGUUUUGAAAUUCCUUAUUUUACUUGAAUGUAAUAGUGCUUGCUUUUGCUUUCACCCAGCUACCAAAUUCGGUUUUGUUUGUAUGGUAACAUGGAUUGCUCAGGUUAGGUAGGAGAUGAUGGAGGUGAGAAAUACAAUUGGGAAAGAUAUGCUGAGAGGUUUACAAAACACCUUUGAAGCUGUCGAUGAGGAUUCUUCUGUUUAAGAGUAGGAAUUUUUUAAUUUUUUGUGGAAUCGAUGUUUUGUUUUCGAUUGACUUUAUAAAGGAUUGCUUGGACAAGUACAGGGUGUUUGGGAUUGAAAGGUGGGGAGAGGCCACAUAUGGGUUCAGAGAGAAUAUUCUUUUUUGAAUCUCUAUACGUGCAAUUCCCUCUACAUCAGAGGAUAUUUUCAUAUUAUUUUGCACAUAAUUUUAUUGAAGGGUUUGUGUAUAAAGGUUUCAUUAAUGGGGAUUUCUAUGCAAUGACUGUUUGGGAUUGAAAGGUUGUUCCAGCGUUUAUUAUAAACUUAUUGCAAUGACUGUUUGCAAAUUUACCAAAUUUGUGUUUAAUUUGAGUAGCUUGAAUGGAAGACGCAAUUCCAACACCUAUCAAUCAGGUACAACCGUAUAAAAAGGCAAUAAAGAUUAAAGUCCAUGUGUGUAGAAUGUGGAGACCGAGAACUUUAGGAAAGACUAAUAAAAAUACAAGUCUGCACUGUAUACUGCUAGACAAAAGAAAUAUUCACAGUUGUCUUCAUCCGAAGCGAGUCAAUUAACUGUAUACCAUCACCUUCAAUCAUUGAAAACUUCAACAUGUGCUUCAAAUCUAGAUCAAAGCUAGAUUAACCUCUCAU